UCCUGACAAUGCCGAAGUUGCAAGACAACAGAGAGCAUGACAACGACAAGUAAUCUCAGAUGAAAUCCGUGGAACCCUAGUUCAUCAUGUGCUCAUACAUAGGAGGACGAUGAGAGAAGCUGGACAUCAGGUGCAACACUACCUAAGCCGUUACACGGUGGCAUCCAUUGUCCGUACUUUCAGAAUGGAAAACAGAACUGAGAGAACUCCAUCUAUUGGAGGUAGGCGGAGACUUCUCACAGCUGUGCAGGAGACUGCCCUGGUGAAUAUGCGAUAUUUGAAGCCAUGAUGUCGGCAAGCAGCGAUGUUCAACACGAGGUCAUUCCUGAAUUUACGGACUCAGAAGAAGCUGCAACAUGCUCGCAUGGUGAAGCCACAACCUCAGAGCCCUGCACCCCGACACCCAGGGUCCAUCGACACAAUCAAAGCUCCUGCAACCCCUGACCUCAGCACCACAAGGGUCCAUUGUCGGUUGGUGAACAGUUCUGUUCACUUGUUUAGCCCAAAUCACACAAUUUAUCGGUCUUCAACAGGGCUGGGCAUGUCAUGGCAGGGUUAUGUUCUUAAACAUUAUUUAAGGAGACAUUAUGAAUCUAGGAGUGUUUAAAUAAAACUGGAUUACAGAUUAAAUUCACCAUAUUCUGAGCCAAGACUUGUAUUAUUUGCAUCAUUGGUGUAUUCGGUUGGUCCCACACUGGCCUUUGGUGGAUAAGAUUUCAUACAUUUGCUGAGACAAUCCAUGGUUGGCGAACAAAACUGCACUCACACUGGCUGCCCUCAGGUUUGCUAUGGAGUCUGUACCUUAUACUUCCUGUACUGUAAAUCUCAUUUCAUCUGCUGGUUGAGAGAAUGCCAAGAGUGUGCAAAGCUGUCAUCAAGGGUGGCUACUUUGAAGAAUCUCAAAUAUAAAAUAUAUUUUGAUUUGUUUAACACUUUUUUGCUUACUACAUGAUUCUGUGUUAUUUCAUAAUUUUGAUGUCUUCACUAUUAUUUUACAAUGUAGAAAAUAGUAAAAAAUAAAGAAAAACCCUUGAAUGAGUACGUGUGUCUAAACUUUUGACUGGUACUGUAUAUUUCCCCACGGAAGAGAACACAC